rnacentral:rRNA from 1 species
UUUUCCUACGGGGCGCAGCAGUGAGGAAUAUUGGUCAAUGGGCGCAGGCCUGAACCAGCCAAGUCGCGUGAGGGAAGACGGCCCUACGGGUUGUAAACCUCUUUUGCCGGGGAGCAAGCCUGAGCACGUGUGCCCAGGCGGAGAGUACCCGGAGAAAAAGCAUCGGCUAACUCCGUGCCAGCAGCCGCGGUAAUACGGAGGAUGCGAGCGUUAUCCGGAUUUAUUGGGUUUAAAGGGUGCGCAGGCGGUCUGUUAAGUCAGCGGUCAAAGCCCGGGGCUCAACCCCGGCCCGCCGUUGAAACUGG